rnacentral:tRNA from 4 species
CGGGAUGUAGCUUAGCUUGGUAGAGCACUUGGUUUGGGACCAAGGGGUCGCAGGUUCAAAUCCUGUCAUCCCGACCA